rnacentral:lncRNA from 1 species
AAAUAUUAAUAAAUGAAAAAAUGAUUUUAAAAAAAUGUGAGAAAAAUGUAUGUGAUGCAAAAUAUUUUUAGAGACUUUGUGUACAAAAUUUGAAUAAAAAAUGUUUAAAAAUGAGAGAGAAACUAAUUUGGAAAUAAAAGGAAUAAAAUAUAAUAAAAUAAAAAUAGAAAAGGGCGCCAACGGUCUAGAGAAUUUGAAAAAAUGCGUUGACUAGUUAUGAUUGCU